rnacentral:rRNA from 1 species
UUUACAGAAAGACCCUAUGAAAGGCGGCCGUAAAUAUAACGGUCUUAAGGUAGAGAAAUUCCUUGUCGGGUAAGUUCUGACCCGCACGAAAGGGGUGAAGAUCAGGGCACUGUGUCGGAGAGAGACUCGGUGAAAUAGACAAAUGUGUAAGAAGCGGACUACACGCACCCCGGGACAGAAAGACCCUAUGAAGCUUGACUGUAGCUUGGAAUUGGGUUCGGGCUCUUCUUGCGCAGCCUAGGUGGGAGGCGUUGAAGGUUUUCUUUCGGGGAAACUGGAGCCAACAGUGAGAGACCACUCUGGAGGAGCUAGAAUUCUAAUGGCGUUCCUUGAAGCAGGACGCUUGACAGUUUCAGGUGGGCAGUUUGACUGGGGCGGUCACCUCCUAAAAGGUAACGGAGGUGUGCAAAGGUUCCCUCAGGCUGGACGGAAAUCAGCCGGAGAGUGUAAAGGCAGAAGGGAGCUUGACUGCAAGACCUACAAGUCGAGCAGGGGCGAAAGCCGGCCUUAGUGAUCCGACGGUUCCAUGUGGAAGGGCCGUCGCUACAACGGAUAAAAGUUACUCUAGGGA